UUUUAUAUUUAACAUUAUGUAGUAAAAAUUUCUUACAUUUAUAGUAUUACACAUAAUAUUUAAUUUAAAAAUAAGGUAUGCAAAAAUAGUAUUUUAAAUGCCCAUUAUUAAACUACUUAAUAGUUUAGUUAAAUGUCAAUAAAAAUUUAGAUUUUAUUUUUUAUGACAUUUCAUUUAGCUGUUUUACAUAUUAUCUUAUUUUAUUUUUAGUUUCCUAAUAAGCUUUCUUAUAACUCGUGUACUGUGUUUCUUAGUGGCUUGUGCAAGACAAGGUCUCCUUUUACACCAUCUCUUGAGGUUGAGUCAAAGGGAAAGUUUUCAAGUUUCAUAAAAAGAACAUUGUUGGUAGAAAGUUAUAAAAACAUGUUAAGGACUUAGUUCAGAGGAUUUUUUGCUCAAAGAUUUGCUGUUAAUAAUUUUUUAAAAAAAGGAAAACUCAGUGUCAAACAAAGAAUACACGAAUUGCGAUAUGCUUGAAAUUUGGAAAGAAUGUAAAAAUCAAACUAGUUUCACUCUAAGUUCUUGUAUAAAAUUUUAAAAUUUUGAAAUAGAAGUAUUAGAAAGUUUUU